GGGUCAGUAGGGUGGUCGUGCCACCGGUACGGACUGGUCUCCCUGAUUCCUCCUUCCUGAAGAACCGUAAUGCCAUUAAUUUGGUGUUGCGGGGAAACAGGACUGUUACUUUGAAAAAAUUAGAGUGUUUAAAGCAAGCUAACGCUUGAAUACAUUAGCAUGGAAUAAUGAAAUAGGACGAUCGAUCCUAUUUUGUUGGUUUCUAGGAUUGACGUA
rnacentral:rRNA from 1 species